rnacentral:rRNA from 1 species
UACGGAGGGUGCGAGCGUUGUCCGGAAUCAUUGGGCGUAAAGGGCGCGUAGGUGGCCCGGUCAGUCCGUGGUGAAAGUCCGGGGCUCAACCCCGGAUCGGCCGUGCGAACUGAGUGGCUCGAGCACUGUAGAGGCAGGUGGAAUUCCGGGUGUAGCGGUGGAAUGCGUAGAGAUCCGGAAGAACACCCGUGGCGAAGGCGGCCACCUGGGCCGACCCUGACGCUGAGGCGCGAAGGCGUGGGGAGCGAACGGG